UACGAAGGGUGCAAGCGUUACUCGGAAUUACUGGGCGUAAAGCGUGCGUAGGUGGUUUGUUAAGUCUGUUGUGAAAGCCCCGGGCUCAACCUGGGAAUGGCAAUGGAUACUGGCAAGCUAGAGUGCGGUAGAGGGUAGUGGAAUUCCCGGUGUAGCGGUGAAAUGCGUAGAGAUCGGGAGGAACACCAGUGGCGAAGGCGAUCACCUGGGGUUGUUCUGACGCUGAGGAGCGAAAGCUAGGGGAGCAAACGGG
rnacentral:rRNA from 1 species